AUUGAACGCUGGCGGCAGGCCUAACACAUGCAAGUCGAGCGGAGCGGCGGACGGGUGAGUAAUGCCUAGGAAUCUGCCUGGUCGUGGGGGAUAACGUCCGGAAACGGGCGCUAAUACAGCAUACUAUCAGAUGAGCCUAGGUCGGAUUCGCGAGUUGGUGGGGUAAAGGCUUACCAGGGCGACGAUCCGUAACUGGUCUGAGAGGAUGAUCAGCCACACUGGAACGGAGACACGGUCCAGACUCCUACGGGAGGCAGCAGUGGGGAAUAUUGGACAAUGGGCGAAAGCCUGAUCCAGCCAGGCCGCGUGUGUGAAGAAGGUCUUCGGAUGGUAAAGCACUUUAAGUUGGGAGGCGUUACCAACAGAAUAAGCACCGGCUAACUUCGUGCCAGCAGCCGCGGUAAUAC
rnacentral:rRNA from 1 species